rnacentral:lncRNA from 1 species
ACAUUGAUAUGACACAGUGUCUGUAAAUUGUGUCUUUUAAGGAUAAUUUAGUUUGUAUCAAGUAGAUACAUUGAUAGGACACAGUGUCUGUAAAUUGUGUCGUUUAAGGAUAAUUUAGUUUGUAUCAAGUAGAUACAUUGAUAUGACACAGUGUCUGUAAAUUGUGUCUGAUAAGGAUAAUUUAGUUUGUAUCAAGUAGAUACAUUGAUAGGACAAAGUGUCUGUAAAUUGUGUCUUUUAAGGAUAAUUUAGUUUGUAUCUAGUAGAUACAUUGAUAUGACACAGUGUCUGUAAAUU